rnacentral:lncRNA from 1 species
AGAGUAUUUUCAGUAGAAUCAAUAAUUUCCUCCUGCUAAGAUGUGCCGCUAUUCAAUUGGGGAGUGUUAUUAUCAAGUGGAUUUGAUAUCCCUCCUACCGCUCCUUGAGUAUUCUUCAUUCGUCAUGGAGGUAUAUUGACCUAUGACAAAUUUAGGAUGAAAACUUAUCCUUAAUAAAGUUAUAAACUUAUUUAAGAUAGUUC